AUGCGGUCCUGGUCAGAGAGUCAGGAAAUACUCAUCGUGCAUAAUGAAUGGCAUAGAUAUAGUAUUUUUGACUGUGAUAGCAACAAGAGACUACAGAACAGUGGAGUCAUGACUGAAGGUGAACAUAAUGGUCGGGUCAUACAUUUUUAUGGAACCUUGAAAGAGAUCAUUCAGUUGGACUACAAUUUGGAUGAUAGGUUCUAUUUAAAUGUGACUCGUUUAAACUUGAUGGAAAGAAUACUGGGCUACGAAAUGAUCGUUUUUUAA
rnacentral:rRNA from 1 species